GACGAACGCUGGCGGCGUGCUUAACACAUGCAAGUCGAACGGAAAGGCCCUGCUUUUGUGGGGUGCUCGAGUGGCGAACGGGUGAGUAACACGUGAGUAACCUGCCCUUGACUUUGGGAUAACUUCAGGAAACUGGGGCUAAUACCGGAUAGGAGCUCCUGCUGCAUGGUGGGGGUUGGAAAGUUUCGGCGGUUGGGGAUGGGCUCGCGGCUUAUCAGCUUGUUGGUGGGGUAGUGGCUUACCAAGGCUUUGACGGGUAGCCGGCCUGAGAGGGUGACCGGCCACAUUGGGACUGAGAUACGGCCCAGACUCCUACGGGAGGCAGCAGUGGGGAAUAUUGCACAAUGGGCGGAAGCCUGAUGCAGCAACGCCGCGUGCGGGAUGACGGCCUUCGGGUUGUAAACCGCUUUCGCCUGUGACGAAGCGUGAGUGACGGUAAUGGGUAAGGAAGCACCGGCUAACUACGUG
rnacentral:rRNA from 1 species